GGUGGAUUUCAAGUAAUCAAGGAAUCAAAGGUGGUGAGUCCUCCGAUAAAGGCAAGGAAAUUGCAUCCGAGGACCAGUAGUCAGAGUACUUCAGAAAUCCGCACUCUAGACAUUCUUAGGAUAAUCGGUAGAUAGCUCAUUUCGUUGAGGGCU